rnacentral:rRNA from 1 species
UGUGAGCUCGAUGAGUAGGGCGGGACACGUGGUAUCCUGUCUGAAUAUGGGGGGACCAUCCUCCAAGGCUAAAUACUCCUGACUGACCGAUAGUGAACCAGUACCGUGAGGGAAAGGCGAAAAGAACCCCGGCGAGGGGAGUGAAAAAGAACCUGAAACCGUGUACGUACAAGCAGUGGGAGCCUCUUAAUGGGGUGACUGCGUACCUUUUGUAUAAUGGGUCAGCGACUUAUAUUCUGUAGCAAGGUUAACCGAAUAGGGGAGCCGAAGGGAAACCGAGUCUUAACUGGGCGUUAAGUUGCAGGGUAUAGACCCGAAACCCGGUGAUCUAGCCAUGGGCAGGUUGAAGGUUGGGUAACACUAACUGGAGGACCGAACCGACUAAUGUUGAAAAAUUAGCGGAUGACUUGUGGCUGGGGGUGAAAGGCCAAUCAAACCGGGAGAUAGCUGGUUCUCCCCGAAAGCUAUUUAGGUAGCGCCUCGUGAAUUCAUCUCCGGGGGUAGAGCACUGUUUCGGCAAGGGGGUCAUCCCGACUUACCAACCCGAUGCAAACUGCGAAUACCGGAGAAUGUUAUCACGGGAGACACACGGCGGGUGCUAACGUCCGUCGUGAAGAGGGAAACAACCCAGACCGCCAGCUAAGGUCCCAAAGUCAUGGUUAAGUGGGAAACGAUGUGGGAAGGCCCAGACAGCCAGGAUGUUGGCUUAGAAGCAGCCAUCAUUUAAAGAAAGCGUAAUAGCUCACUGGUCGAGUCGGCCUGCGCGGAAGAUGUAACGGGGCUAAACCAUGCACCGAAGCUGCGGCAGCGACACUAUGUGUUGUUGGGUAGGGGAGCGUUCUGUAAGCCUGUGAAGGUGGCCUGUGAGGGUUGCUGGAGGUAUCAGAAGUGCGAAUGCUGACAUAAGUAACGAUAAAGCGGGUGAAAAGCCCGCUCGCCGGAAGACCAAGGGUUCCUGUCCAACGUUAAUCGGGGCAGGGUGAGUCGACCCCUAAGGCGAGGCCGAAAGGCGUAGUCGAUGGGAAACAGGUUAAUAUUCCUGUACUUGGUGUUACUGCGAAGGGGGGACGGAGAAGGCUAUGUUGGCCGGGCGACGGUUGUCCCGGUUUAAGCGUGUAGGCUGGUUUUCCAGGCAAAUCCGGAAAAUCAAGGCUGAGGCGUGAUGACGAGGCACUACGGUGCUGAAGUAACAAAUGCCCUGCUUCCAGGAAAAGCCUCUAAGCAUCAGGUAACAUCAAAUCGUACCCCAAACCGACACAGGUGGUCAGGUAGAGAAUACCAAGGCGCUUGAGAGAACUCGGGUGAAGGAACUAGGCAAAAUGGUGCCGUAACUUCGGGAGAAGGCACGCUGAUAUGUAGGUGAAGCGACUUGCUCGUGGAGCUGAAAUCAGUCGAAGAUACCAGCUGGCUGCAACUGUUUAUUAAAAACACAGCACUGUGCAAACACGAAAGUGGACGUAUACGGUGUGACGCCUGCCCGGUGCCGGAAGGUUAAUUGAUGGGGUUAGCGGUAACGCGAAGCUCUUGAUCGAAGCCCCGGUAAACGGCGGCCGUAACUAUAACGGUCCUAAGGUAGCGAAAUUCCUUGUCGGGUAAGUUCCGACCUGCACGAAUGGCGUAAUGAUGGCCAGGCUGUCUCCACCCGAGACUCAGUGAAAUUGAACUCGCUGUGAAGAUGCAGUGUACCCGCGGCAAGACGGAAAGACCCCGUGAACCUUUACUAUAGCUUGACACUGAACAUUGAGCCUUGAUGUGUAGGAUAGGUGGGAGGCUUUGAAGUGUGGACGCCAGUCUGCAUGGAGCCGACCUUGAAAUACCACCCUUUAAUGUUUGAUGUUCUAACGUUGGCCCGUAAUCCGGGUUGCGGACAGUGUCUGGUGGGUAGUUUGACUGGGGCGGUCUCCUCCUAAAGAGUAACGGAGGAGCACGAAGGUUGGCUAAUCCUGGUCGGACAUCAGGAGGUUAGUGCAAUGGCAUAAGCCAGCUUGACUGCGAGCGUGACGGCGCGAGCAGGUGCGAAAGCAGGUCAUAGUGAUCCGGUGGUUCUGAAUGGAAGGGCCAUCGCUCAACGGAUAAAAGGUACUCCGGGGAUAACAGGCUGAUACCGCCCAAGAGUUCAUAUCGACGGCGGUGUUUGGCACCUCGAUGUCGGCUCAUCACAUCCUGGGGCUGAAGUAGGUCCCAAGGGUAUGGCUGUUCGCCAUUUAAAGUGGUACGCGAGCUGGGUUUAGAACGUCGUGAGACAGUUCGGUCCCUAUCUGCCGUGGGCGCUGGAGAACUGAGGGGGGCUGCUCCUAGUACGAGAGGACCGGAGUGGACGCAUCACUGGUGUUCGGGUUGUCAUGCCAAUGGCACUGCCCGGUAGCUAAAUGCGGAAGAGAUAAGUGCUGAAAGCAUCUAAGCACGAAACUUGCCCCGAGAUGAGUUCUCCCUGACUCCUUGAGGGUCCUGAAGGAACGUUGAAGACGACGACGUUGAUAGGCCGGGUGUGUAAGCGCAGCGAUGCGUUGAGCUAACCGGUACUAAUGAACCGUGAGGCUUAACC